rnacentral:rRNA from 1 species
GUGCUUAACACACRVAAGUCGAACGAAGCAUUAUAACAGAAGUUUUCGGAUGGAAGAUAUAAUGACUUAGUGGCGRACGGGUCKKKYNCGCGUGGGCAACCUGCCCCGAACCGGGGGAUAACAGCCGGAAACGGCUGCUAAUACCGCAUAAGCGCACAUUGCCGCAUGGCAGAGUGUGAMAMACCGAGAUGGUUCGGGAUGGGCCCGCGUCCGAUUAGCUAGUUGGUGAGGUAACGGCCCACCAAGGCGACGAUCGGUAGCCGDCCUGASAGGGUGGACGGCCACAUUGGGACUGASACACGGCCCAGACUCCUACGGGAGGCAGCAGUGGGGAAUAUUGCMCAAUGGGGGAMACCCUGAUGCAGCGACGCCGCGUGAGCAAGAAGUACUUCGGUAUGUMAAGCUCUGUCAGCAGGGAAGAUAAUGACGGUACCUGACCAAGAAGCCCCGGCUAACUACGUGCCAGCAGCCGCGGUAAUACGUAGGGGGCAAGCSUUAUCCGGAUUUCCUGGGUGUMAAGGGAGUGCAGGUGGCAGUACAAGUCAGGAGUGAMAACCCGGGGCUCAACCCCGGGACUGCUCUUGAAACUGUACAGCUUGAGUGCAGGAGGGGCAGGCGGAAUUCCUAGUGUAGCGGUGAAAUGCGUAGAUAUUAGGAGGAACACCGGUGGCGAAGGCGGCCUGCUGGACUGUSACUGACACUGAGGCUCGAAAGCGUGGGGAGCAGACAGGAUUAGAUACCCUGGUAGUCCACGCCGUACACGAUGAAUACUAGGUGUCGGGGCCCAAAAGGGCUUCGGUGCCGCAGCAAACGCAGUAAGUAUUCCACCUGGGGAGUACGUUCGCAAGAAUGAAACUCAAAGGAAUUGACGGGACCCGCACAAGCGGUGGAGCAUGUGGUGUAAUUCGAAGCAACGCGAAGAACCUUACCAGGUCUUGACAUCCCCCUGAGUAUGGAGUAAUGUCCAUAGUCCKKUAAGGACAGGGGAGACAGGUGGUGCAUGGUUGUCGUCAGCUCGUGUCGUGAGAUGUUGGGKUAAGUCCCGCAACGAGCGCAACCCCUGUCCACAGUAGCCAGCACGAAAGGUGGGCACUCUGUGGAGACUGCCGGGGAUAACCCGGAGGAAGGUGGGGAUGACGUCAAAUCAUCAUGCCCCUUAUGACCUGGGCUACACACGUGCUACAAUGGCGUAAACAAAGGGAAGCGAAACCGCGAGGUCAAGCAAAUCCSAAAAAUAACGUCCCAGUUCGGACUGUAGUCUGCAACCCGACUACACGAAGCCGGAAUCGCUAGUAAUCGCGAAUCAGAAUGUCGCGGUGAAUACGUUCCCGGGUCUUGUACACACCGCCCGDRRRUAMMAUGGGAGUCGGAAAUGCCCGAAGUCAGUGACCCAACCGCAAGGAGGGAGCUGCCGAAGVCAGGUCCGGWAACUGGGG